rnacentral:lncRNA from 1 species
UCAAAAUUUAUUCAUAUUUUUCCUGAAAUUUUGUGAAUCAUGAGUCGACCCCCUAGGGUCGACCCAAUGGCAUACUUGUAAUUUUCGGCCAAAACCCCACGGAUUCCUCUCUUUUUGGUUAAAACCCUGUUCAUGAGCCGACCCUCUCCAUCUUCGUCUUCCUCCCUCCAAAACCCAUAGUCCUCUUCUUCUUUCACUCCAAAUCCAAGGUCUAAGCCCAAGAUCUUUCUUCCAUCAUCUCUCCACCUCAAAUCGCCCCUUGGGAAAGGAGCUAUUCCCAUUCUUCUCCCUUGAUUGGAG